rnacentral:rRNA from 1 species
GCUCAGUAACACGUCGAUAAUCUGCCUUUAGGCCGGAGAUAACCUUGGGAAACUGAGGAUAAUAUCCGAUAGGAAAAGAAUUCUGGAAUGAGUUUUUUCUGAAAGGCAUACACCUAAAGAUGAGUCGGCGGUCGAUUAGGCUGUUGGCGAGGUAAUGGCUCACCAAACCUUUGAUCGAUAGGGGCCUUGAAAGAGGGAGCCCCGAGAAGGGAACUGAGACACGGUCCCUAGCCCUACGGGGUGCAGCAGGCGCGAAAACUCCACAAUGUACGAAAGUAUGAUGGGGGAAUCCUAAGUGCUUACACACAGUGUAGGCUUUUGCCAAAAGCAAAAAUUUUGGCGAAUAAGUGGUGGGCAAGACUGGUGCCAGCAGCCGCGGUAACACCAGCGCCACGAGUGGGAGCCGUAAUUAUUGGGCCUAAAGCGUCCGUAGCCGGUUAAGUAAAUCUUUUGUGAAAUCGUUGAGCUUAACUUAACGACGUGCAGAAGACACUGCUAAACUUGGAACUGGGAGGGGUCAGAGGUAUUCCUGGGGGAGCGGUAAAAUGUUAUAAUCCCAGGAGGACCACCUGUGGCGAAGGCGUCUGACCAGAACAGAUUCGACGGUGAGGGACGAAAGCCAGGGGAGCGAUCCGGAUUAGAUA